rnacentral:tRNA from 1 species
GUGGGUACAGCUCAUGGUAGAGCACGUGCUUAGCAUGCACGAAGUCCUGGGUUCAAUCCCCAGUACCUCCA